GGUGGUUCUCGGGUGACACACCCUGGAAUCUGGCUCCCUCUUCUCUGGUUCCAGGUGCAUCACCCAAGAACUGCA
rfam:Myotis lucifugus cont2.11677, whole genome shotgun sequence.